rnacentral:lncRNA from 1 species
GGCUGGGACCCCAUCGUCCCUCGGGUCUUUUCUAUCCCUAAAUGCCCAUCUUGGGCUCCGGACCCCGCUGUCUAUCCGCGAGGCACCUCCAGAGGCCGGCGCCCCUGGCCCGCUCGCCUCGGAGCCGGCGAGGCUGGAAUGUUCUCUUCUCCUCGCGGGGCCGCUUCCUGUCCGCCAUGUUGGAAGCCGAUUCCUGUCACCGACUCUGGCCGGCUGAGGAGCGGAGGGGGAAGGGUGCGGAAGGCCACACGGGACGCUGGCACCGCUGCCCCGGGACCCUGUGCAGCCCUCUUCAGGUCCCCCGCACUGCGGGCGGCCGC